ACGCUUAUUACUCCCAACAAAUUCAACUGGAAGUCUUCAAUAAUUUUUUUGUUGCGUGUUUUUUCUUCCAAUGUGCUGAUUGAUAUUGACUUUUUCCUCUAAUAACAUGUAUUAACUAUACCUAAUUUAAAUGUUUUAUUUUCGAUUUAAUUAUGGUGUUAAUGUGCAACCUCAAUUCCUAUGCACAAGUUCAUCCAAUGCACAUGGCUUUUUCCUAUCCAUGGUUACUUUUUCCGUUCACUGUCAAGGUUACUACGUAGUAAAAUGCAACCUUCGAAACUUCAGUCGAUUGCCGCACCUAAUGGUACCAGAUCAGUCUAAUUGAAAGUACCGUUUUGUUUACAUUUUGUUGUCUAUUUUUACACCAACUGAGAUGAUUGUUUAUUUUUAACGCGGAUCGAAUCGCAUUACAUAACUAUUUAGGCGGUCUAGUCAUUAUCUGCUGCUGAUAGUUUUCGACCACAUCCCUAGUCUGGAUAAUCAGAAUGUCUUAAUGUUGAAGGUAUUGAGAGAAAUGGUUGACAAUCGUAGAUUUACAGCGUUUGUAUGCGUUUGGAGAGUAAUUUUCGGUACAAAAAUCUGUGACGGUGUACCAUAGAUGUUAACGAUAAGAAAUACGAGUCAAGCCGCUUUUGACGAAAGUGAUAAUAAUAAUAAUGGCGACAAUAAUAGGGAAUAUGAGGAUGAAUGCAAUGUUCAAAAUGUGAUACCAGAAGAUAAAAAACCAGAGAUCCAAUCUCUUAGAGAAUGGGCAGUACUAUAUUUUUUUCGGUAUUUUUAAUGGUUUUGUAGAUACGUAUUUAAGCUCCUAUAAUACCAUCUUAAUCUUGACCUGAAAUACGUAGUUUUAUUUACCCCUUCCUAUUAAUAGAGAGGAUGGAGAAAACGUUUUAUUAGUAAAAGAUAACUGACUAUAAAAUAUAGCUAUAGUGAAAAUGGCCAAUUUUUACUACAAACCGAUUUUGUAUUUCCACCAGGGCAGUUUCAUCUUUGAACUAGUACAAUGGAAUGGCGAACAAUUUUCCUCUUGGCUCCUCAGUAGUGUUUAACUAUUGGAGAAACUUCUCUAUUUCAAAAGUGUUUUCUUAAAAGAUCACUGGCCUUGGUGUUGGUACAGAGUGAGAACUUUUGGUAUUUUUGUGGACAAGAAUAUACAAUUUUCGCAGGUUUCCAAAUUUUCAAGGAACUUUUCUACAAUUGUUGGAUUACUAGCAGAUCGUUUGGUUCUUCCAACAUUCAUUUUUGUUGGUGAUAUUUUCUUUAAAUGUACAAGCGCAAAAGAUCCUUUUGCCAGAUCAAAUAGAGUUAAACUCUCAUCAUUCUCCAUGACUACUACCUAAUUGACUAAAUUUGAUCAGCCGAACCAAAAUAGCCG